AGUGGCGGACGGGUGAGUAACGCGUGAGAAUCUGCCUUGGGGUCGGGGACAACCACUGGAAACGGUGGCUAAUACCGGAUAAGCCGAUUGGUGAAAGAUUUAUUGCCCGAAGAGGAGCUCGCGUCUGAUUAGCUAGUUGGUGAGGUAAGAGCUCACCAAGGCAGCGAUCAGUAGCUGGUCUGAGAGGACGAUCAGCCAUACUGGGACUGAGACACGGCCCAGACUCCUACGGGAGGCAGCAGUGGGGAAUUUUCCGCAAUGGGCGAAAGCCUGACGGAGCAAGACCGCGUGAGGGAGGAAGGCUCUUGGGUUGUAAACCUCUUUUCUCAGGGAAGAAGCUCUGACGGUACCUGAGGAAUCAGCCUCGGCUAACUCCGUGCCAGCAGCCGCGGUAAUACGGAGGAGGCAAGCGUUAUCCGGAAUUAUUGGGCGUAAAGCGUCCGCAGGUGGCGAUUCAAGUCUGCUGUCAAAGCACGGGGCUUAACUCCGUAAAGGCAGUGGAAACUGAAUAGCUAGAGUGCCGUAGGGGUAGAGGGAAUUCCCGGUGUAGCGGUGAAAUGCGUAGAGAUCGGGAAGAACAUCGGUGGCGAAAGCGCUCUACUGGACGGCAACUGACACUCAGGGACGAAAGCUAGGGGAGCGAAUGGGAUUAGAUACCCC
rnacentral:rRNA from 1 species